rnacentral:rRNA from 1 species
UACGAAGGGGGCUAGCGUUGUUCGGAUUUACUGGGCGUAAAGCGCACGUAGGCGGUUUGUUAAGUGAGAGGUGAAAUCCCAGAGCUCAACUCUGGAACUGCCUUUCAUACUGGCAAGCUAGAGUCCGGAAGAGGUAAGUGGAACUCCUAGUGUAGAGGUGGAAUUCGUAGAUAUUAGGAAGAACACCAGUGGCGAAGGCGGCUUACUGGUCCGGAACUGACGCUGAGGUGCGAAAGCGUGGGGAGCAAACGGG